GAGCUCCUGGAACCCACUAUUUUCGCCUGCGGACAAAGUUUUCCGGCAGCCAGGAAUCAGAGACCCAACUGCGCAGGGUUAGCAAUACUCUUCCCACCACCGCCUGGGGGUGAUUACUGUGGUGGCUCCGGCAGCUCCUUGCCCCUGAGAUCACCAGUUUCCUGAAGGCAGAGACCUCAUCUAACUUUUUGGCCAUCAUUUCUGAGAGCUAAGAAGAACAUCAAGUCAGAGUUGGCGCUCAAAAUACGACCUUGCUUUCAUCCAGGCUCGGAUGGCAGAAAUUUGAAAGUGCUUUCUGGAGAAAAGCUGAGUAAUGAUUUUGCCAUGGGUGGGACUUUUAGUGUCCGUCUUCCUCGCAACUGGCCCUUCGUAUAUAUACCUCCCUGAGUAUGGCGAGCACAUCUCACUCCAGCAGCUGUUGCCAAAGCAGCCUCGCUCUCU